rnacentral:ncRNA from 2 species
ACGACGAAACAGGGGUGCUUCGUGCGCCGCGACCCGGCCGAUCGGCUUGGGUAUACGCGCAACGAGGCUGAGAGAGUCCCUUCGCACCCGAUCCGGAUAAUACCGGCGCGGGAAGUUUCCGAUCCCGCCGG